UACGGAGGGUGCAAGCGUUAUCCGGAAUCACUGGGUUUAAAGGGUGCGUAGGCGGUUCGUUAAGUCAGUUGUGAAAUUCCCCCGCUUAACGGGAGGGACUGCGAUUGAUACUGAUGAACUUGAAUCAGGUUGAGGUGGGCGGAAUGUGACAUGUAGCGGUGAAAUGCAUAGAUAUGUCAUAGAACACCGAUUGCGAAGGCAGCUUGCUGGACCUGUAUUGACGCUGAGGCACGAAAGCGUGGGGAGCAAACAGG
rnacentral:rRNA from 1 species